GCUCCGAUUCCCGGUAGCAGGCCGGCCGGUGCCCGGUGUGUGCGCUGCAGGAUGUGCCCAGAUCCCGCCCUCACGUCACUGAGUGGGGAUGCCCGGCCUGGAGUCAGCUCCUGUGGGCUUAGUACAUCUGGACUACAGUGUGAUGAUUCCAUGAGAGAGAUGACAGUGCUGAGUGCUGUUUCCGGCGAGUGACGUAGCAGGAGGGAUGGAGGCUGUAAGAUAUGGAUUACAGAGGAGUAUUUAUGGGUGCAGAGUGGUCUCCUGUGUGAGCGGUUCGGCAUCUUUGGACGCAGUCGCUUUCAGCAACACACCCGGCGCGGCUUUGCCCCCCCAAGGAAGCAGCAGUGAUAGCUAAUCCAACGGCACCUGAAUGUGUGUAGUGUAACCAGGUCUGCCUUCUACUCAACAGAGCAACCGCGUGUCACUCGUCGUCACUAACUGUGUCUGCCGUGUCACUGAUCCCAUAAUCAACGCACAUGCUAAUGUAUUUCCCCGUGUGCCGUAUACAUCUAAGAUGAUGGAUACAGUGGGGAGACGCAGAUUGAAUUGCA